AUCAUUUGGAGUUUUCAAGAUGGAUGAUUUCGUACCUCAGCGUAUGCACUUGAACAUCCAUCCACUUCAAAAUUCUUACCUUGUUUAUGGACAUAUAGCUAGACGAAAUGCAGCUGUUGUGCUCUAGUCAUCAAAUAAGAAGGCAUAGGUUGAGAAGAUCAUGGAGACCAAGCAAGUUUGGAGGCGGAGGCGUAGGGGCAAGUUCAUGUAAUAGGUUUGUUUUUUGUGUGGCAGAUCAUCAUUGGAUGGCUAAUGGAUAGUGUCAGGUUUCUCUCCAAUUGCAGAGGUUAUUUUUACGUGGGUAUCACUGAUUGAAUGAGAGAAACAACAGUAAAAUGAGGGCGUGGGGCUCAGAUGUGA